AGCCAUUUCUCAAUACACUGUUCCUUAAUUCAUUUGCUUAAUAUAUCUGCUCUUCAAUCUCUGUUUGCCAUGAGACAGGUUAUCCCAUUAUCUGUUCUUGAAAUUCUAGCUUGUUGAGAUGCUCAUAGAAGUUGGAAAUAAUGGAGGGUAAUUACUUUUUAUUUGAAGAUUCAAAAAGGUCAUUGGGUAUCCCUAAUCUCGCUCAAGAAUCAGCAUAGUACAGCUGAAGAUGAAUUACUUGUACCUUUGGGUGCUACGGCAUCACAUCGUCCACACUCUCAUUUUUCCUUUUCUUUUUGGUUUUUCCCCCUUCUCUUCUUUAUUUUUUUUUCCCAUGAUGAUGCAUGCAGUCAACCGUAAUCCACAUGCCACGAUAGGGCGGAACACGUGGACAUUCUGUAUAUUGGGUAAUACCUCCCCCUUCUCUUAGAACCUUUUAAAUAGAUUAUGUUUAUCCCGAAAAGACAAAAAAACACAGGCAUGUAAUAUUCUGUCAUGUAAAAUGCAUUUCCAAAUAGCGAGAGAUUAAAAGCAAUAAUUCCAUACCUCUGAAGCUAAUUACAACUACUUUCUAAUCAUAACUCGUAGAAAUA
rnacentral:misc_RNA from 1 species